UUGAACGCUGGCAGCAGGCCUAACACAUGCAAGUCGAGCGGAUGAAGGGAGCUUGCUCCUGGAUUCAGCGGCGGACGGGUGAGUAAUGCCUAGGAAUCUGCCUGGUAGUGGGGGAUAACGUCCGGAAACGGGCGCUAAUACCGCAUACGUCCUGAGGGAGAAAGUGGGGGAUCUUCGGACCUCACGCUAUCAGAUGAGCCUAGGUCGGAUUAGCUAGUUGGUGGGGUAAAGGCCUACCAAGGCGACGAUCCGUAACUGGUCUGAGAGGAUGAUCAGUCACACUGGAACUGAGACACGGUCCAGACUCCUACGGGAGGCAGCAGUGGGGAAUAUUGGACAAUGGGCGAAAGCCUGAUCCAGCCAUGCCGCGUGUGUGAAGAAGGUCUUCGGAUUGUAAAGCACUUUAAGUUGGGAGGAAGGGCAGUAAGUUAAUACCUUGCUGUUUUGACGUUACCAACAGAAUAAGCACCGGCUAACUUCGUG
rnacentral:rRNA from 1 species